UGUAGUAAUACAAGGCAGACGGCUCAGUAACGCGUAGUCAACCUACCCUAUGGACGGGGAUAACCUCGAGAAACUGAGAAUAAUACCCGAUAGAACAUUAUGCCUGGAAUGGUUUAUGUUUCAAAUAAUUUAUUGCCGUAGGAUGGGACUGCGGCCUAUCAGUUUGUUGGUGAGGUAAUGGCCCACCAAGACUAUUACAGGUACGGGCUCUGAGAGGAGUAGCCCGGAGAUGGGUACUGAGACACGGACCCAGGCCCUAUGGGGCGCAGCAGGCGAGAAAACUUUGCAAUGUGCGAAAGCACGACAAGGUUAAUCCGAGUGGUUUCUGCUAAAGGAACCUUUUGUCAGUCCUAGAAACACUGAUGAAUAAGGGGUGGGCAAGUUCUGGUGUCAGCCGCCGCGGUAAAACCAGCACCUCAAGUGGUCAGGAUGAUUAUUGGGCCUAAAGCAUCCGUAGCCUGCUUUGUUAGUUUUCGGUUAAAUCCAUACGCUCAACGUAUGGGCUGCCGGGAAUACUGCAAAGCUAGGGAGUGGGAGAGGUAGACGGUACUCGGUAGGAAGGGGUAAAAUCCUUUGAUCUAUUGAUGACCACCUGUGGCGAAGGCGGUCUACCAGAACACGUCCGACGGUGAGGGAUGAAAGCUGGGGGAGCAAACCGGAUUAGAUACCCGGGUAGUCCCAGCUGUAAACUAUGCAAACUCAGUGAUGCAUUGGCUUGAUGCCAAUGCAGUGCUGCAGGGAAGCCGUUAAGUUUGCCGCCUGGGAAGUACGUACGCAAGUAUGAAAACUUAAAAGGAGUUGGCGGGGGAGCACCACAAGGGUGAAGACUGCGGUCCAAUUGUA
rnacentral:rRNA from 1 species